AACGAACGCUGGCGGCAUGCCUAACACAUGCAAGUCGAACGAGACCUUCGGGCUUAGUGGCGCACGGGUGCGUAACGCGUGGGAACCUGCCCUUAGGUUAGGAAUCACUCACCGUAAGGGGUGCUAAUACCGGUUAAUGUCUUAGCACCAAAGAUGUCUCGCCUUGGGGUGGGCGUGCGUUGGAUUCGCGGGUUGGUAGUGUAAAAGCAUCCCAAGGCGACGUUCCUUGGCUGGUCGGUGAGCAUGACCAAGCGCGCUUGGACUACGACACGGCCCAGCCUCCGACGGAAGGCAGCAGUGGGUAAUAUUGGGCGAUGGGCGAAGGCCUAGUCCAGCAGUGCGGCGUGAGAGAUGAAGGCCUUAGGGAUGUAAAGCUCUUUUUGCCGAGAUGAUAGUGACAGUACCGGGAGAAUAAGCACCGGCUAACUCCGUG
rnacentral:rRNA from 1 species